AACGAACGCUGGCGGCAGGCCUAACACAUGCAAGUCGAACGCCCUAGCAAUAGGGAGUGGCAGACGGGUGAGUAACACGUGGGAACGUGCCCUUCGGUUCGGAAUAACUCAGGGAAACUUGAGCUAAUACCGGAUAAGUGCGAGAGCAGAAAGAUUUAUCGCCGAAGGAUCGGCCCGCGUCCGAUUAGCUAGUUGGUGAGGUAAUGGCUCACCAAGGCGACGAUCGGUAGCUGGUCUGAGAGGAUGACCAGCCACACUGGGACUGAGACACGGCCCAGACUCCUACGGGAGGCAGCAGUGGGGAAUAUUGGACAAUGGGCGCAAGCCUGAUCCAGCCAUGCCGCGUGAGUGAUGAAGGCCCUAGGGUUGUAAAGCUCUUUCGCCAGGGACGAUAAUGACGGUACCUGGAUAAGAAGCCCCGGCUAACUUCGUGCCAGCAGCCGCCGCCG
rnacentral:rRNA from 1 species